AUUUUCAACCUUGCGGUGCUUUGUCUUGCUAUCAACAUACGAUUUGACAAAAUAUUUGGAAACUUAGAUAUUCAAAAACUAUUCUCCAGAAUAAACAUUACUGAUCAUACCUUAACAAGUGCUCUCAACACGUUUUCCAUUGUGACUGUAACUUUUUCAUCUCUAUCAAUAGCAGUUGUUAUACUUUCAUACGUUGUCAUGGCCAUACCAAAAUGGAAGUCAAUCCCCAGGUUUGUCGUAAGUAUUUAUUAUGUAUGCUCUUUACUUUAUAAUUUGAAAACAAAUAUUUUCCUUCGAUGUUUUAAGUAACCGCGAAUUUCGUGUAUCAUUGGCGUAACUCAAGGUUAAAAAAAUAAAUUUCUAAGAAGGCUGUAUUUACAAAUUCGAAGAAGGCUAAUAAUAUUAUUGACAUAACCUAUAUGGUUUGAUCAUGACGAUUGAGAUGCCAGUUAAAUGUCCUAUCGUAUAGUAUUACAUAAAAAGAAAUAUCAAUACUCGAGCAUGUACAAUCUUUUUGAAUUUUAGGUCAUAAAUGCUUUUAGUCUUUGUACUAGCUUGUUUGGCUAUUUUGAUCUAAGCGUCACUGAUGCGUCUUAUGUAGACGACACGCGCGUCUGGCGUACAAAAUGAUAAGCCAAAUACAUUUGAUAACUAUACACGUACAAUUACGAUUUACCUUGGUCUGCUUUAUUUCAUUAAUGCCAUUAUGAAUAUAAUGAUGUAAAAUGAAUAUUAUCAAUCCAUUCUGAUUUAACUGGAUAUGUUCCUCAUGUCGUAACUACAAACCCGUUCCCUUUUCACGAAUUUGACUUACCGAUUUAUACUAUUUACCGGGUUUGUAAUAACAUGAGCAACACGACGGGUGACCCAUUUGGACAGGAUCUGCUUACCAUACGGAGCACCUGAGAUCACUCCAGUUCUGGUUGGGAUUCGUGUUGCUUAGUCUGUCGUGUUCUAUGUUGUGUCUUUUGUACUAUUAUUUGUCCGGUUGUCUUUUUCUGUUUAAGCCAUGCCAAUGUCAGUUUAUUUCGAUCAAAGGGUUUAAUUGUCCCUCUGGUAAUUUUCGCCACUUUGUUUUUUGAUUAAACAAUAAUUACAGUUGUAUAAUUAAAACUUGAAUAACGAUUGUAUAAUUUUAAAAUUUCAAAAUUCACAUAGGUUAAGUGAUUACAGCAGAAAAUGAAUAGAUAUUCAUCAGAAAUUAAAGUGAUACAUUUACAUAAUAUGAACAUGUUCAAUUUUAAAAUUGUUCAGGUAACGGAAGUUCUGUUUUCAAAAGAAAAUGCGGAGCAAUUGUAGAAAAAGUAAGAUAACAAAAUUAGCGCACUGCAAAGAAAAUUAAAAACGGAAAGUCAAAAAUCAAUAUCUCAAAACAAUCAGGACAGAGAAUUAAGAAAUAACCUAAUAGUUAACCACAGAAUAAAACGGACAUCUCCCAGGAAUUAACGACAGUAUACACGAACACCCCAAAUAGAGUUUGAAAUGUGCGUCCCACCAACAUAUUCACACAAAAAAGGUAAGGUAUGUUUUUGUGAAAAUCAUAUUAUCGCAUGUAAAUUUCUAAAAAAUGUAGAAGCUAAAGGACGCCUCAAGAUGCGUGAAUUUUUGGCUGCAUUGAAGACCUGUUGGUGACCUUCUCCUGUUGUCUGUUCCUCUAUUGUCGGGUUGUUUUCUCUUUGACACAUUCGCCAUUUCCAUUGUCAAUUUUAUAGAUCAGAUUUAAUGUAGACACAUAUUAGAUUGUUUUUUUGUUACUUUUUAAUCGUGUUAUUGGAUGUAUUUUCUAAUUUUAUCGAGAAUAUUAUAAUGGAAUUGUGUUUUUUAUGGUGUUAUAAUUUGUAUUUUAUGACCUUAUUGAGUUUUUUUCUAAAUCAAAACUGUGUAUAUAAACAAAAUUCUGUGCAUAUUAUACUAUACAUGAAAUAGCUGAUUAAUUAUCUUAAAUUUUAUAUACGUAUAGAAAAAAUAACUGUUAUAUAAGACAAGAUAUUGUAAUAUCAAACAGUAAAAACACUAUGAAACAAAAACACUGUAGAAGAACCGAUAGUAACUCAUAUUUGGAAAAAGGUCGACAAUUUAACUUUUGUUAUCUGUGAAAUUUUAGAAAUGUACAUGUGCUUGUUGCUCAUUACUAUUACUUUGAAUGGCAUAUAUGCAGUCACUGUUUUAAAUAGGUUUACUUACGUCAUUUGUUGAAAUUCAAGAAUUAUGGUUUCAAUUUUGUAACUAUAAAGAUUGUUUUAGUUAAAUCAAAAUAGAUUGAUACGAUACAUUUUAUAUCUUCAUAAUCAUACUGAUAAAUAAUAUAACAAUAUUGCAACGUAAAUGGCUUUUCGUGUGUAAAAUUAUUUUUCUUUCAUAAUCUGUCUAAUGACAUUAUACCCCGCUAGCUCAGCCGUUUACGUUACUGGUAGAGAGGGUUCGGCCUGUGCUUUCGCUCCAGGACUUUUGACAGCAUACUGACAAUACAACGAAACAGUAAAUUCAAUAAAUGACAGUAUAAGAAACCUAAAAUGACAGUGAUGACGAUUUGCCAACAUGUAUUUGCUAUAUAACAAAUGACCAAAAUUCAUAAAACAGUUUCAUAUUUAAUAGACAAAGACAACAUAACUACAUAAAUAUCGCGGUAUCUCCAUGUGAAAUUAUCAAUUCAGAAUUUCAAUACAUUUUCGAACUUCCCCUUUUUGGACAAACGAUGCGGUGAAAAAUACUCAUUACCAGUUAACCAAUUCAAAGACGCGUUUGGCCUAAGUGUUAUCUAAUUAAAUAAAAUAAAAUGAUACUAGAAUUUGGAGGUGUCCGUUUACUUAAAAUAUUGAGAGCUGUACACUAGUCGUCUUUAGAUAAAAUAUCAUCCAAUCAAUCAAGUUGUGACGUUAACCUUCCGGGGAACAAAAAUCGAUUCAGUAAAAAACAUGCAUUUCUCUAUACCCGUUUAAUUUCAAUCAACCAGACAAUGUCUGAAAACUUUUUAAUACAUUGACCAGUUCAAGUAUCAAAAUUAAACAUGCGAAAUACAAUUCUAUUCAGAGGAAGCACGAACAAUUCCGCAGAUCACACAUUACUCCAAAAUAUCCCUCGGAUAACCAUCUGUCUAAAUAUCGAUAUCAAAAUGAACUCCAUCUCUUAAUAAACCCUAAAUCAUAAAAUAUCUAGCUAGUGUACAAGUCCCUCUAUUUAAUCUGGAACGAAACGUAAUAUAAUAUUUAAACUGUUUGACUACAACCGAAAAGAAAUUAACAAAUAAAGAAAUAUAUUUAGUCAAACAUCAAAUACAAAAUAAAAUGAAAUUUAAAUACAACUUACCAGUACGAAAGUUUUCCCAUUCUAAGAAAAACUGCUCUGACGGUUUAAUAUCCAAGUCUAACAUUGAGUUCAAGCACGGAAAACGUCCCGCGAAAAAGUGACCGACAAAUAGUUAUAUGAGUAUCUAAAAAUAGAAAAGGGAAUUACAUGACCACAAACGUUGCAAUAUGUAUGUAUACAUAUACAUAUACUUAUAUUAAGUGUCUCCUUUUUUAAAUAUUGAUGUUGUUUUUGUUAACAUAGUUUACACUGGAAUACUUUCUCUAUUAUUAGACUGCUGGGCUUUUGUGUUUUGUGGCAGUUGCAAAUAUUAUUCAAGAAGGUUUAUG
rnacentral:lncRNA from 1 species